rnacentral:rRNA from 1 species
UACGGAAGGGGCAAGCGUUGUUCGGAAUCAUUGGGCGUAAAGGGCGCGUAGGUGGUUCUGUAUGUCUACCGUGAAAGCGUACGGCUCAACCGUAUUUUGUCGGUGGAAACUGCAGGACUUGAGGCUGGGAGGGGCUGGUGGAAUUCCCUGUGUAGCGGUGAAAUGCGCAGAUAUCAGGAGGAACACCGGUGGCGAAGGCGGGUCUCUGGGCCGAUACUGACGCUGAGGAGCGAAAGCGUGGGGAGCAAACAGG